rnacentral:rRNA from 1 species
AUUGAACGCUGGCGGCAGGCCUAACACAUGCAAGUCGAGCGGGUGAAGGGAGCUUGCUCCUGGAUUCAGCGGCGGACGGGUGAGUAAUGCCUAUGAAUCUGCCUGGUAGUGGGGGAUAACGUCCGGAAACGGGCGCUAAUACCGCAUACGUCCUGAGGUAGAAAGUGGGGGAUCUUCGGAUCUCACGCUAUCAGAUGAGCCUAGGUCGGAUUAGCUAGGUGGUGGGGUAAAGGCCUAAAAAGGCGACGAUCCGUAACUGGUCUGAGAGGAUGAUCAGUCACACUGUAUCUGAGACUCAGCACAGACACCGACAGGAGGCAGCAGUGCGGAAUAUUGGGCGAUGGACGAAUGCCUGAUCCAGCCAUGUCGCGUGAGUCCAGAAGCUCUACUGAUUGUAAAGCAAUUAAAGUUUGGAGGUAGUAAAGUAAGUUUAUACCGUGUUGUUUUGACAGUACCAACAGAAUAAGCUCCGGCUAACUCCGUG